GGCGGGAUAGAGCAACGGUAGCUCGCCAGGUUCAUGUCCUGGAACGUGAAGGUUCGAAUCCUUCUCCCGCAA
rfam:Planctomycetes bacterium GWF2_42_9 gwf2_scaffold_12190, whole genome shotgun sequence.